rnacentral:tRNA from 1 species
UGGUCAAGCGGUUAAGACACCGCCCUUUCACGGCGGUAACACGGGUUCGAAUCCCGUACGGGUCAUCCA